rnacentral:rRNA from 1 species
GGUUAAGCGACUAAGCGUACACGGUGGAUGCCCUGGCAGUCAGAGGCGAUGAAGGACGUGCUAAUCUGCGAUAAGCGUCGGUAAGGUGAUAUGAACCGUUAUAACCGGCGAUUUCCGAAUGGGGAAACCCAGUGUGAUUCGUCACACUAUCAUUAACUGAAUCCAUAGGUUAAUGAGGCGAACCGGGGGAACUGAAACAUCUAAGUACCCCGAGGAAAAGAAAUCAACCGAGAUUCCCCCAGUAGCGGCGAGCGAACGGGGAGCAGCCCAGAGCCUGAAUCAGUGUGUGUGUUAGUGGAAGCGUCUGGAAAGGCGCGCGAUACAGGGUGACAGCCCCGUACACAAAAAUGCACAUGCUGUGAGCUCGAUGAGUAGGGCGGGACACGUGGUAUCCUGUCUGAAUAUGGGGGGACCAUCCUCCAAGGCUAAAUACUCCUGACUGACCGAUAGUGAACCAGUACCGUGAGGGAAAGGCGAAAAGAACCCCGGCGAGGGGAGUGAAAAAGAACCUGAAACCGUGUACGUACAAGCAGUGGGAGCACGCUUAGGCGUGUGACUGCGUACCUUUUGUAUAAUGGGUCAGCGACUUAUAUUCUGUAGCAAGGUUAACCGAAUAGGGGAGCCGAAGGGAAACCGAGUCUUAACUGGGCGUUAAGUUGCAGGGUAUAGACCCGAAACCCGGUGAUCUAGCCAUGGGCAGGUUGAAGGUUGGGUAACACUAACUGGAGGACCGAACCGACUAAUGUUGAAAAAUUAGCGGAUGACUUGUGGCUGGGGGUGAAAGGCCAAUCAAACCGGGAGAUAGCUGGUUCUCCCCGAAAGCUAUUUAGGUAGCGCCUCGUGAAUUCAUCUCCGGGGGUAGAGCACUGUUUCGGCAAGGGGGUCAUCCCGACUUACCAACCCGAUGCAAACUGCGAAUACCGGAGAAUGUUAUCACGGGAGACACACGGCGGGUGCUAACGUCCGUCGUGAAGAGGGAAACAACCCAGACCGCCAGCUAAGGUCCCAAAGUCAUGGUUAAGUGGGAAACGAUGUGGGAAGGCCCAGACAGCCAGGAUGUUGGCUUAGAAGCAGCCAUCAUUUAAAGAAAGCGUAAUAGCUCACUGGUCGAGUCGGCCUGCGCGGAAGAUGUAACGGGGCUAAACCAUGCACCGAAGCUGCGGCAGCGACGCUGAUGCGUUGUUGGGUAGGGGAGCGUUCUGUAAGCCUGCGAAGGUGUGCUGUGAGGCAUGCUGGAGGUAUCAGAAGUGCGAAUGCUGACAUAAGUAACGAUAAAGCGGGUGAAAAGCCCGCUCGCCGGAAGACCAAGGGUUCCUGUCCAACGUUAAUCGGGGCAGGGUGAGUCGACCCCUAAGGCGAGGCCGAAAGGCGUAGUCGAUGGGAAACAGGUUAAUAUUCCUGUACUUGGUGUUACUGCGAAGGGGGGACGGAGAAGGCUAUGUUGGCCGGGCGACGGUUGUCCCGGUUUAAGCGUGUAGGCUGGUUUUCCAGGCAAAUCCGGAAAAUCAAGGCUGAGGCGUGAUGACGAGGCACUACGGUGCUGAAGCAACAAAUGCCCUGCUUCCAGGAAAAGCCUCUAAGCAUCAGGUAACAUCAAAUCGUACCCCAAACCGACACAGGUGGUCAGGUAGAGAAUACCAAGGCGCUUGAGAGAACUCGGGUGAAGGAACUAGGCAAAAUGGUGCCGUAACUUCGGGAGAAGGCACGCUGAUAUGUAGGUGAAGUCCCUCGCGGAUGGAGCUGAAAU